rnacentral:rRNA from 1 species
UACAGAGGUCCCAAGCGUUGUUCGGAUUCACUGGGCGUAAAGGGUGCGUAGGUGGUAAGACAAGUCAGGUGUGAAAUCUCCGGGCUCAACCCGGAAAUGGCAUUCGAAAACUACCUUGCUAGAGGGUUUGAGGGGGGACUGGAAUACUUGGUGUAGCAGUGAAAUGCGUAGAUAUCAAGUGGAACACCAGUGGCGAAGGCGAGUCCCUGGAAAACUCCUGACACUGAGGCACGAAAGCUAGGGGAGCAAACAGG